GAGCAGGAAAAUAAAAGGACAUAAUAACAUUAAGAGAAGAAAUUACAAUGAAUUUGGAAGAUUAAGAAUUCUUAUUGAAAGAAAAACGUAUUGUUAAUCCUUAACACAUGAUAGCAUACUUCCAUUUAUAUGAAUGUUCAAGAUUUACAUGAACUUAAAAUCCAACUUAAUUAGGUCAACUGAGGAGGUUCUUCCUUAUAGAAAAAGAAUGUAUCUAGCAUGCAACUAGCUAAAGAGGGCACAAUAUAAGUCGCUCAAGGGUUAUAUAGUUUCCUUACCAGAGUUGACUACAUAAACUUUAAGUUUAAUACAUCCUCAUUUUAGGUGAUCAAAGUUUAAUGGCAUCUUAAUCAAUCAAUCCUUACACGCUCUCACUUCUUUCCCCUCAAAUUUUAUAUUAGUAAAAUAAGCUUGUUCAACAGAGAGUACAGAGUACAAGGGCAAAAGUUUUGCAGCAACUUAGUGGUGAUUUA